GACGAACGCUGGCGGCGUGCUUAACACAUGCAAGUCGAACGGAAAGGCCCUGCUUUUGUGGGGUGCUCGAGUGGCGAACGGGUGAGUAACACGUGAGUAACCUGCCCUUGACUUUGGGAUAACUUCAGGAAACUGGGGCUAAUACCGGAUAGGAGCUCCUGCUGCAUGGUGGGGGUUGGAAAGUUUCGGCGGUUGGGGAUGGACUCGCGGCUUAUCAGCUUGUUGGUGGGGUAGUGGCUUACCAAGGCUUUGACGGGUAGCCGGCCUGAGAGGGUGACCGGCCACAUUGGGACUGAGAUAGGGCCCGGACUCCUACGGGAGGCAGAAGUGGGGAAUAUUGCAAAAUGGGCGGAAGCCUAAUGCAGCAACGCCGCGUGCGGGAUGACGGCCUUCGGGUUGAAAACCGCUUUCGCCUGUGACGAAGCGUGAGUGACGGUAAUGGGUAAAGAAGCACCGGCUAACUACGUG
rnacentral:rRNA from 1 species